UGUUAUAUUGACCUUUGAUUCUUUUGCAGGUUUAAAUGUGUGUUUGCUGUCCUGGAAGGGGACUGUGUGGGGUGACCCCCAAAAGUAAAGGGUAUCUAGCUGCCAAGAGGGCAGGUGCCCAACUGGGCAGGGAAGGGUGCCCAUCAGGUUCUGUUCACUGUUGAGAGACAGUUGACAGUUGGCAGCAUGUGUACUGCUUACAGGCCUGCGUGACCAUGCCCAUGUCAGGGGUACUGGGAAAAAAGCCUGUUUAGAAUAGAAGGUCUGGGGAAUAGUUAUGCAUA